GACGAACGCUGGCUGCGUGCUUAACACAUGCAAGUCGAACGCUGAAGCCCCAGCUUGCUGGGGUGGAUGAGUGGCGAACGGGUGAGUAACACGUGAGUAACCUGCCCCUGACUUCGGGAUAAGCCCGGGAAACUGGGUCUAAUACCGGAUACGACUAUCGGACGCAUGUCUGGUGGUGGAAAGUUUUUUCGGUUGGGGAUGGGCUCGCGGCCUAUCAGUUUGUUGGUGAGGUAAUGGCUCACCACGACGACGCCGGGUAGCCGGCCUGAGAGGGCGACCGGCCACACUGGGACUGAGACACGGCCCAGACUCCUACGGGAGGCAGCAGUGGGGAAUAUUGCACAAUGGGGGAAACCCUGAUGCAGCGACGCAGCGUGCGGGAUGACGGCCUUCGGGUUGUAAACCGCUUUCAGCAGGGAAGAAGCCUUCGGGUGACGGUACCUGCAGAAGAAGUACCGGCUAACUACGUG
rnacentral:rRNA from 1 species